rnacentral:rRNA from 1 species
UGGGUAACCUGCCCAAGAGAUCGGGAUAACACCUGGAAACAGAUGCUAAUACCGGAUAACAACAGAUGAUGCCUAUCAACUGUUUAAAAGAUGGUUCUGCUAUCACUCUUGGAUGGACCUGCGGUGCAUUAGCUAGUUGGUAGGGUAACGGCCUACCAAGGCGAUGAUGCAUAGCCGAGUUGAGAGACUAAUCGGCCACAUUGGGACUGAGACACGGCCCAAACUCCUACGGGAGGCAGCAGGG